UCUUACCUUAAUCUGCUGAAAUAUAAUACAAGCUAUAAAAACAUACUUAUUUAGAGGAUUGAGACCUUCAUAAUAUAAGAGUCUUUUCAAAUCAAUUUGAAUUCGUCAGCUAAUUGUGUAUUAUCAGAAGGAUAGGUUAUUUAAACUUUGUUGACUCCUUAAAAUGGAAAGAGCAUUGUAUUGGACAUUAUAGAUAAUAGGAGACCUAAUAUUAUUCUUUAAUAGCUUUAGGGAGCAUUGGUGAAAACAUUGAAACUGUCUAAUUUAAUCCUUCAUAAAGCACUUUGGUUUCGGUUGCUUAGGAUAAGAUCAUGAGGGUGUUUGGCUAAGCUUAUAAGCACUUACGCAUUUGGUAAACACUCAAAGUGCUUAUAAGCCCAAAUCAGCCAAAAGCCAUAAACUAAACAUCCCCAACUUAUGACUUUUCAGCUAUAAGCACUUUUGGUUUGACCAAAUAUUUUACUAUACUUCUUCUAAUUCAACUAGUACCUUUCUCAAAAGAAAACUCCUAAGUCCAACUUCCUCUUCACCCGUAUCUAUGUUUCUUCCUUUUCUUUACAUGGAUACUUUAAGUUUAUAAUUUUUUGCAAAAAAUUUAAGGGUGCUUUAGUCAUUCUAACAAAAGAACAACUUAUCAGCACCUCUGACCAAGCACGUUAACUGUUUAUGAAGUAUCAACACUUGUAUCCAAACACGUAGCUGCUUAUUUAUGAAAUCAGUUUCUGCACUUAAGAAUGCUUUCUGUACUUAAAGCUUAUCAGCCAUAUACAAUCA